rnacentral:sRNA from 1 species
GGCCAGCUGGAAGCCCGGGGAUCCUGGAGGGAUGUGUCCCUGUCCCUGAGCCCAGCCACUGUCACUGCUGCCCUCGACUCAGCCUCUGCCCAGCCCACCCUGACCCACUGCCCCUUUCUCCCCAGGCCAUGUCAUGGUGAACGGCCCAACCACCCCGAUUCCCGUCAAGGCCAGCCCCAGCCCCACGGACCCCAUUGUCCCUGCAGUGCCCAUAGGCCCGCCCCCGGCUGGUUUCAGAGACAUCCUGCUGCGAGAGGGGCCUGAGGGCUUUGCUCGAGCUGUGCGGAACCACCCGGGGCUGCUGCUGAUGGACACGACCUUCAGGGACGCCCACCAGUCACUGCUGGCCACUCGUGUGCGCACCCACGAUCUCAAAAAGAUCGCCCCCUAUGUUGCCCACAACUUCAGCAAGCUCUUCAGCAUGGAGAACUGGGGAGGAGCCACGUUUGAUGUCGCCAUGCGCUUCCUGUAUGAGUGCCCCUGGCGGCGGCUGCAGGAGCUCCGGGAGCUCAUCCCCAACAUCCCUUUCCAGAUGCUGCUGCGGGGGGCCAAUGCCGUGGGCUACACCAACUACCCAGACAACGUGGUCUUCAAGUUCUGUGAAGUGGCCAAGGAGAAUGGCAUGGAUGUCUUCCGCGUGUUUGACUCCCUCAACUACUUGCCCAACAUGCUGCUGGGCAUGGAGGCGGCAGGAAGUGCCGGAGGCGUGGUGGAGGCUGCCAUUUCAUACACAGGCGACGUGGCCGACCCCAGCCGCACCAAGUACUCACUGCAGUACUACAUGGGCUUGGCCGAGGAGCUGGUGCGAGCUGGCACCCACAUCCUGUGCAUCAAGGACAUGGCCGGGCUGCUGAAGCCCACGGCCUGCACCAUGCUGGUCAGCUCCCUCCGGGACCGCUUCCCUG